rnacentral:lncRNA from 1 species
UUGUAGAUGACGCUGCCCCCAUAGCAUUCAGGAGCCAUCCCCCAAAUACCAAAACCUGCAGGGAAGCACUGAAGGCCAAAACAAGGUAACAAAGCUGCUAGGAGCAAUUGGAGAGGAGAUUGCUGAGAUUUCUGCCAAAGAAUUGAAAAGCUCCAGUUCCUGCAGUGGGACCCCCCAGCCCAGGGAGUGACUUGGUUCACCUUCAGCAUCUGCUUGCUCUGUGGUGUGAGGCAGGAA